rnacentral:pre_miRNA from 1 species
AAUGGAACUGAAUGGAGUUGAUUACGGUUUGCCGUGCCUGGCUCCCUGUAUGCCAUCUGCAAGACCUCAUUAACAGAGUUUUGGUGGGGCUUGCUGGAUGGCGUACGAGGAGCCAUGCAUGCUUUUUUAAUUCUCAACCCACCAUCAACUCCAUCAGUUCCAUU